ACGGGUGAGUAACACGUGGGUAACCUACCUCAUAGUGGGGGAUAACAGUCGGAAACGACUGCUAAUACCGCAUAGGACAUAGGAUCACAUGAUCCAGUGAGGAAAGGUGGCGCAAGCUAUCGCUAAGAGAUGGACCCGCGGUGCAUUAGCUAGUUGGUAGGGUAAAGGCCUACCAAGGCGAUGAUGCAUAGCCGACCUGAGAGGGUGAUCGGCCACAUUGGGACUGAGACACGGCCCAAACUCCUACGGGAGGCAGCAGUAGGGAAUCUUCCGCAAUGGACGCAAGUCUGACGGAGCAACGCCGCGUGAGUGAAGAAGGUCUUCGGAUCGUAAAGCUCUGUUGUUAGAGAAGAACGGCGCAUAGAGUAACUGUUAUGCGUGUGACGGUAUCUAACCAGAAAGCCACGGCUAACUACGUGCCAGCAGCCGCGGUAAUACGUAGGGCGCGAGCGUUGUCCGGAAUUAUUGGGCGUAAAGAGCUCGUAGGCGGCUGGUCGCGUCUGUCGUGAAAUCCUCUGGCUUAACUGGGGGCUUGCGGUGGGUACGGGCCGGCUUGAGUGCGGUAGGGGAGACUGGAACUCCUGGUGUAGCGGUGGAAUGCGCAGAUAUCAGGAAGAACAUCGGUGGCGAAAGGCGGGUCUCUGGGCCGUUACUGACGCUGAGGAGCGAAAGCGUGGGGAGCGAACAGGAUUAGAUACCCUGGUAGUCCACGCCGUAAAC
rnacentral:rRNA from 1 species